rnacentral:rRNA from 1 species
GAUGAACGCUGGCGGCGUGCCUAAUACAUGCAAGUCGAGCGAAUGGAUUAAGAGCUUGCUCUUAUGAAGUUAGCGGCGGACGGGUGAGUAACACGUGGGUAACCUGCCCAUAAGACUGGGAUAACUCCGGGAAACCGGGGCUAAUACCGGAUAACAUUUGGAACCGCAUGGUUCGAAAUUGAAAGGCGUCUUCGGCUGUCACUUAUGGAUGGACCCGCGUCGCAUUAGCUAGUUGGUGAGGUAACGGCUCACCAAGGCAACGAUGCGGAGCCGACCUGAGAGGGUGAUCGGCCACACUGGGACUGAGACACGGCCCAGACUCCUACGGGAGGCAGCAGUAGGGAAUCUUCCGCAAUGGACGAAAGUCUGACGGAGCAACGCCGCGUGAGUGAUGAAGGCUUUCGGGUCGUAAAACUCUGUUGUUAGGGAAGAACAAGUGCUAGUUGAAUAAGCUGGCACCUUGACGGUACCUAACCAGAAAGCCACGGCUAACUACGUGCCAGCCGCCGCCGUAA